rnacentral:rRNA from 1 species
UACGUAGGGUGCAAGCGUUGUCCGGAAUUAUUGGGCGUAAAGAGCUCGUAGGCGGUUUGUCGCGUCUGCUGUGAAAACUCGGGGCUUAACUCCGGGCCUGCAGUGGGUACGGGCAGACUAGAGUGCGGUAGGGGAGACUGGAAUUCCUGGUGUAGCGGUGAAAUGCGUAGAGAUUGGGAAGAACACCGGUGGCGAAAGCGCUCUACUGGGCCUGCACUGACACUGAGGGACGAAAGCUAGGGGAGCGAAAGGG